UAGGGAAUUACCUUUUAUUCAGCGCACUGGCUGAGGAGUUAAGCUGUGGAGAUGGCCUCUCAGAUAUCUGCGAAUGACGGUUCUGAAGAGAUAGAUGAUCAAGGCAAGGAAAUGGAAGAGGACCCAGGUGCCACAUGGAGACUUCAUCUCAAGAACAAUGAGGCUUCCUUUGUCUUAAAAAGCUCCUAUCAUACUUCAGAACUAGAUUAGAAGAUAGAUUUACCGUG